UCCAGGGGGCGUAUUUUUAAUCAUGUGAU
rnacentral:sRNA from 1 species